rnacentral:misc_RNA from 1 species
AACGCACCUUGCGCUCUCUGGUAUUCCGGAGAGCAUGUCUGUUUGAGUGUCAUGAACUCUUCAACCCACCAGUUUCUAGUAGACUGUUUGUGGUGUUUGGAUCUUGAGCGCUGCUAGUCUGACUAGCUCGUUCGUAAUACAUUAGCAUCUCUAAUUCGAAUUCGGAUUGACUCAGUGUAAUAGACUAUUCGCUGAGGACACUAUUGAUUUAGUGGCCGUACUAGAACCAGUAGAAGCUUCAAACUACUUUAGUCAACUUUGAUUUAGACCUCAGAUCAGGCAGGAUUACCCGCUGAACUUAA